CUUUUUUCUCUCUCUCCCCACGAUGGAAAGUAUUCCAUCCGUCCAUCUCUCUCUCCCCAUGGAAAACCAAAUAUCUAGCCCACGGUCCCUUCCUCUCCACUCUUUCCUCUCACGAAUCUCUCUACCCUAGAAACCAAACUAAUGCAAAGCAAGCGCGGCCAUGGAUCUGAACAACAAGCGGGGCCAUAAAUCUGGCGUGGUCAAGAGGCUUACUGCCUCAAAUUUGCUUUCCUGAUCUAGAUCAGGUUGUUCUCAGAUUCCUCCUAAUCACGAUUUGGAUCAAACCCUCAAUCUUUUAAAGUACAAUUUCUGGAUGCCUUACGGAGAUCGGAUCGGAGCACAACUAUGACCAUCAGGUGUACCUAUAAUUAAUAUCUCUUGACUAUAUACGAUUACCUCGGGAGUCACAAGUCGUCUAACGUCCUAGCCAGGUUUCCCCGGCCACAUAUCUCCGUCGCACAAGAGAUGUUGGAGAAGCGGGAGUAACCCAUCGCCUGUAGCUCAGUACGCGUGGCAUUCAAGAAGCUGCUUCGAUCGCAGACUACAUGAUCAGAUCCAUGUCGUAGCAUAUAUAUACACCAUGUACGUCAUGGAUGCAUGCAUAAAAGCGAGCUAGGAUGUCAGACAGAUGGGGUGAAACAUAAAUUGAUUUGCAAACAGGGGAAAGAGAGACCAAAGUAAAGAUUUCACAGCUCCUAUGGAGAUGAGGUGCCAAUUUGCUGUAUGAGAAAGCAUAAUCUGGAGGAAUAUCAAUUGUAGCACUAAAUUUUAAUAUGCACUGAACACCGAGCAUAACUCUCUGGUUGAAGAAUGAAGAUGCAUGCUCUUACCUUAUUUCCUUGGAAUAAUGAUGUACAAUGCUUCCAUUUGAUUUUGAUUUGGCGCAAACAUAUAUACACAACAAUAAGUUAAUAGCAAAUCCAUAUGCCAUGACAUAGACUUUAUGUUUGUAGAUCCUCUAUGUUAGGAGCUCCUUCUAAUUAAAAAGUUGUUGAAGGAAAGCCAACAGAUCAGUAACUUCUAGAUUUUUUUUGAUUCCAGGUUAAAUCUAAUAAGAGACAUCACCAGCUAAAAAUCUAACAACUCAUCCACUUAGUUAUAACGCUAUCCUAACUGUUAAGAGAAAUAAUAACUAAAGAAGAUGCAGAUUCUCAUUCGGAUGGAGCUCUACAAACAGCUGGUACAUGACAAUGUUUGUGUGCUGGAAUGAGAAACUGACACACUGCCAAAGGUACGGUCUCUGAUGUUAUAGAAGCUAUGAUUUGUGAUGCUAAUCUUGCAUGUUCAGAACUGCUACGAUCGAAUUUGCUCAAAUUAUUCUUUGGUGUAUUAAUAACAUGCCCUUUUGUAGUUUGUAUUUGCUGACAUAUAUAAAUUUUCAUUUCGGGCAUUCGUUACAAUACUUCAAUUAUGUGUUCUUGAGCGAGGAUUAAUACAUUAAUACUGAGGGAGCCCUCUAUCCGGUGAUUUUGUCGUAGGUAAUAUUAUCUUACGCAAGUUACUAUCGAUGGUCUAAUUUGAUCAGUAUUGUAUUCGGUUAGAAAGGAAUUUCUUUUCGGUGACCACCCUUCCAAAUUUUGUACCGAUAAUAGUUGGCUUUUGUAAAGAUCUUUCUCUAAAUAUUUUACUUCAUGAUCAGUAGUCUAGCUGGCACAAUUCUCUAAUAUAUUAUGUAAAUCAUUUUAACUUUUCAAAGUGACCGGAUUGUACAUAUAUUGUUCGUUAUCGUGUGCUACAGUUGUCUUAGUAGUGCUCGCACUCAUUAAUGGCUGAUUUUUUUCUACAGACCUCUGCUUUAAUACUUCUUAAUAUGGUGAUGAAAUUCCGAAGAACAAUUCUUAUGCGUAUGGUAUCACCUGUACCUUUAUCUUUAGGUGUUGUAAAAUGCUAGGCCGUGCAGAUGGACGGGUUGACGACUAUCAUCUAUGAUGCUUAUGUUCUUCAGAUCGAUCUAUCUGGUAAUAGUCGCGGGUUGGCUGGCCAGCGUUGACACCAACCAGAGGAUGCAUUGGCGCACAAUGUUCUUAUUGCUACACUUCAUGAGUGCAGUAAUGUGGUUAGGUCUAUCAGAGAAGUGCCCAGUUCAUGCCGAUGAGCGAUGAUUGUCAAUGGAGCUUACAUGUGGUUGCGGAAGCAUAAAAAGCAUGGUGAUAAGAAAGGAUUGAUCAGCGUAAGUUUGUACUGUCUGGCACGUUUGUGCAAGAAGCAAGUAAUUGCUACAGUACCAUUUAGGUUGCUCUGGGAGGACUUCUUCGCGCUACAAGGAUUAAAGCACCUUUGAUUCAUGAGGACGCACCAAACGAGGCUGGCUAGACUAAGCUUGCUACUAGAUCUACCGGACAGAAGAACAGAACACAUGCCCGCGAUUGCCCAAGUCCGGAAGGGACAAGGCCGCUAAGUAAUACUCCUUCCAUCCCAAAAUAAGUGACUCAACUUUGUACCAGCUUUAGUAUAAAGUUAGUACAAAGUUGAGUCACUUAUUUUGAGACGGAGGGAGUAUAUAUCCCAGUUAGCAUCAACAAUUAAUUUCCUGUGCUUCCUGAUGUUAUUUAGUAACUGGACUUAGGAAUGUGAGAAACGUCAUUGUGUGAUAUGACUUGCUGGAGCAAGAUUAAAUUGCUGGACCAAGGUCUACAUCUAUAUUCCCUUAUGUUUUUCACUUAUGUCCUUUUUUGUCCUAUGCAUUUUUAUGGCAUUCUGAGCAAAAGAAAAAAAUUGAGGGGAUUUUAAAUACUCCCUCCAUUCCUAAAUAUAGGGCAUAUAGUUUUUGGCGCGGAAAUUAAAGAACGCAUGUGGAGGGAAAAUUUCACAAAUUUUGGGAGGGAUUACAGCCUACUAAUUGACAUGAGAAAAUAGAGGAGCUUGCCUGAUAUAAGGAAAUGUAAUCAAAUCCCUAAAAAAAAUAUCCAAACAAGUGAUGCAAUGCAAUACACCUUAUAUUUCAGAUUUUUUUCUCAAAGAUCUAUACACCUUAUAUCAAGGAAUGGAGGGAGUAACAAGCAAGAAAAUGUAAGUAUCCCUGGCUUAUUUCUUCUUUGCUACCCAGAUUUUGCUGCAUCCAACAUGUCAUCCGCAGAACAUGAUCAAUGCAUGCUAAACCAAACAUGCAAAGCUGCUGCUUACCAAACAUGAUGUAUACCAACACAUUGGUUUAUCAGUCUAUUUUGUUCGUGGGUGUAAUUAUGGUUUUGUUGUUGUACUCGACAACAGAAUCACUAUCGUCCUUGGCAUAAUAUGUUAUUCUCACCCGUCUGCCUUCCUAUUGUUAACUCAAAUUUACAUUUUUCAUAUACGCUUUAAUGAGCACAGUUGAUGAGAUUUCACCCAUUCUUAAUUACUUGCAUGCACUUUAUCAACAACAUUUUCCUAAGCUACAAACCAAAUCCAUAUAAUCUUGCCUCUCACUAUCUUUCCUUUCACGU